rnacentral:rRNA from 1 species
GUAAGCGAUAUAAACUAAUUCGAACGUUGACUUAACGGGUGCGAUCGUACCAUCAGAACUCCGCAUCUAAGCGUGCUAGGGCAAGAGUAGUACUAGGAUGGAUGACCUCUUGGGAAGUUCUCGUGUUGCAUACC